UUCACCCGCACGAGGAGAGAGGAAUUUGAGGGUUUCCACCAUGGCUAGGCUGUCGGCUUGCUCGGCGGAGGAGGCGAAGACAUCCUUGGCAAAGCCGUUGAUCAAGAUCCCAGCUGAGUUGCGGCAUACACAAGCUAUUGAACCUUCAAAGGAACCAGAUUUCCCAGAGGACAACAGAGACUAACUCAAAUUCGGGGGAGUUGUUGCUGCUGGAGCAGGGCCAACCUGUGGUUUGCAUCUUCAUCCGGCUCCAUGGAGGUGGGACUUAAUCGCAGCUACUAUAGUUCCUCGAGCUUAAGGACACAAGAUUUACUUGCCUUCACAGUUGAGUUCCGCUCCAGAGAGCGAUUUUAGUGUAACGAGUUGAAGUGUUGUGGGUGGGUGUUGAGUUGACGAGGCAUUAGGUUACUGAGGAGCUGUUAAUGAUUCAUGGUAACUGAGCUAGAUCGGGGAAGGAAGAAGAGGGACAU